CCUACGGGUGGCAGCAGUGAGGAAUAUUGGUCAAUGGACGAGAGUCUGAACCAGCCAAGUAGCGUGAAGGAUGACUGCCCUAUGGGUUGUAAACUUCUUUUAUAAAGGAAUAAAACGAGGCACGUGUGCCUUUUUGCAUGUACUUUAUGAAUAAGGAUCGGCUAACUCCGUGCCAGCAGCCGCGGUAAUACGGAGGAUCCGAGCGUUAUCCGGAUUUAUUGGGGUUAAAGGGCGCGUAGAUGGGUUGUUAAGUCAGUUGUGAAAGUUUGCGGCUUAACCGUAAAAUUGCAAGUGAUACUGGCAGUCUAGAGUACAGUUGAGGUAGGCGGAAUUCGUGGUGUAGCGGUGAAAUGCUUAGAUAUCACGAAGAACCCCGAUUGCGAAGGCAGCUUACUAAACUGUGACUGACAUUGAUGCGCGAAAGUGUGGGUAUCAAACAGGAUUAGAUACCCGGGUAGUC
rnacentral:rRNA from 1 species